rnacentral:rRNA from 1 species
UUAAAAUGUAAAUUUAAAACUAAGUGAUUAAUAGUUAAGUUCUUUAAAGCUAAAUGAUUUGGCGGUAUUUUAAACUUUUCAGAGGAAUCUGUUCUAUAAUCGAUAUUCCACGAUGAAUUUUAUUUUAAUUAGAAACUUUUAUAUCGUCGUUUUUAAAUAUUUUUUAAGAAUUAAAUAUUUUAAAUUUUUUUUAAAAAGAAUUUCAGAUCAAGGUGAAGUUUAUAUUAAAAUAGUAAUGGAUUACUUAUAAAUUUUAUUUAUGAAUUUACUAAUUUGAAAAAUUGUAUGAAAACGGAUUUGAAAGUAAUUAUUUAUUAUUUUUUUUUAAUGACUUAGCUCUAAAAUAUGC